AAAGUACUUCCUCCGUCCGAAAAUACUUGUCAUAGGAUUGGUUGUAUCUAGAUUUAUUUUAGUUUUAGAGAUAUCCAUUUUUAUUUAUUUUUGUGAUAAAUAAUUCCGGAUUGAGGAAGUAUGAG
rnacentral:pre_miRNA from 2 species